UCCCACGUGGCUCAGAGGUAAAGGAUCUGCCUUCAAUGCAGGAGGCACAGGUUCAAUCCUUGAGUUGGGAA
rnacentral:tRNA from 1 species